rnacentral:rRNA from 1 species
CCUACGGGGGGCUGCAGUAGGGAAUCUUCCACAAUGGGCGAAAGCCUGAUGGAUCAACGCCGCGUGGGUGAAGAAGGUCUUCGGAUCGUAAAACCCUGUUGUUAGAGAAGAAAGUGCGUGAGAGUAACUGUUCACGUUUCGACGGUAUCUAACCAGAAAGCCACGGCUAACUACGUGCCAGCAGCCGCGGUAAUACGUAGGUGGCAAGCGUUAUCCGGAUUUAUUGGGCGUAAAGGGAACGCAGGCGGUCUUUUAAGUCUGAUGUGAAAGCCUUCGGCUUAACCGGAGUAGUGCAUUGGAAACUGGGAGACGUGAGUGCAGAAGAGGAGAGUGGAACUCCAUGUGUAGCGGUGAAAUGCGUAGAUAUAUGGAAGAACACCAGUGGCGAAAGCGGCUCUCUGGUCUGUAACUGACGCUGAGGUUCGAAAGCGUGGGUAGCAAACAGGAUUAGAUACCCUUGUAGUC